ACUCUCUCAGAAUCUGUGUGAGGAGCUACGGCUCCGUUUGCACCUCCUCCGCUAGCGCUGUGCUCCGAAAGAGCAGCAGCACACACUCACUCGCUCCCACACACGCGUGCGUGCGCACACAUUCACGCGCUGUGCCUUGCUUGCUCCUGCUUUCCGACUUGUUUGGUUGCAGGGAUUUAACAAACGUGUGGUGCUGCAGGAGGAUGCCGGGGCUUCCUGUGGUGCUCCCGGAGAAAGCUGUGGACUGCCAAGGUCAACGAUGACGAACAAUCCCAGUAGCAGCACUUGAGCAGUGGCAGAAGAAUGUGAGCGGCUGGUGGGUGGGGGGAAGGAACCGUUGGCAUGCGUGGUGGUCACCGCUAUGCCGCUCCAGCUCUCAGCUCUCUACACACUAUGGCAUCAUUUCCAUAGCAACCAGCUCUAACGAUUCAUUUUCAAUUAGAGCAGACACAAAACACACUGCCCUGAGCCAGUAGGCAGUGUCAAGAGCCCAUCUCCAUCUUCCUCGCCCCCACAUGGGGGGAGUGAUCCAACCUCUUCGAGUCAAAGACACCAGGCUGUCUUACAGUAACAUUCACAAUUCACUCGUUUAAAUCAGAUUCAUAUUCACAUCAGUGCAAAAAAUCAAUGGGCUACUGAUAAUUAACAGAGAUUUAAUGUUACAGUGUUUAUUGUGAAAUGCAGACGAAUUAACAAGUCUUGAGCAAGGCUGGGCUUGUGCGCAGUCACUGAGAAUGUGAUGUGUUUCAGGCCCAGCAGAAUUGCCACAAGCAGCAAAGCUUUUUUUUUUUUUUUUUUUUUCCGGAUAGAGAGUUAUGCACUUGAGUUCCUAUCCACCUCCAGUCUCCCUCCCCACUGUGCAGCUGAUCCGAUCUAUCCGAUCUGAAGCUAUGCAUGCUACACUUGUAAACACUGCCCUAAUAAACUCACCGGUGUGGUUUCUACCUGC